AAGGCGGCGGAGCGCGGCUGGGCCCUCGCCAGGGGGGAGGGGGAGAGCCCCGCUCCGGUCCCGAGGAGAGGAGGAAGAGCGGCGGAUGGUUGCUGCGCGAGUUCUCGCUCUUGGUGAAAAAAUCUCUCUUCUCUGGAAAUUCAUUUCCAUUUACUUAAAGUUAAAUGGUUUGACUUUGAAUUUUCAUUAUCUGCUGUUGGAAGGAGCCUGUGACAGGUAUGAGAGAGAAUGCUACAAAGCUUCAUUGUAUCAUCUAAUUUUUGCUUCACUUUAGUCAGAUAUCAUUUGGGUAGAGAGUAAAAUACUAUACGUAGAACAGGAUAAGAUAGAACAAAACAGAACAGAAAUAAAAUAAAAUGAAAAUAGGAUAUAUAAUGAAUUACAGUAGAAAAAUGCCUUUAUCUUGAAGUGACUUUUUUUCCUCAGCUAUACUGAUUCUUCAGUAGUGAGAAAAUUGAACUAAUUUUAUACAAAAGGCAUAUGUCAUAACAGGAUAUGGCAUUUAUCUUCCUGAGAUAGGGGUGACCUCAUCAUUCACAAGUGGCGUAGCUAUGAAUGAGUAAUCAGCCUCCCCACCCAUUAAGUGUAGAUAAAGUCCACAUCUUCAGAGCAUUAAAUAUUCGAUAUAUUAUUUCACAACACGCCACCUCUACAAGUGCCCACUGACUGUUGCUUCAGUUGCUGCUACCAAUAUGUAUCGUUACUGUGAAGGAAAGGAAGCUCCUCAAAAGGACCUUGUAUAAUAGCGAAUGGGAGAUGAGAAAUGAGAAUUACAGAGAUGAGGAAAACAAAGGAAGAUGGACCUGUGGGGAAAAAAACGGCAGGGAUAAAGCAUCUCUAACUGACCAACACCUUUGUUGCUGGCAAUGUUCCAAAAGGUUUAUAACAUAUAUACAGUGAAAAUAUUUUUCAUAUUAAUACUUCACAUACAUCAGCUACCACAUAUCUCAGGUUAUAUUGCUCAAGUUAUUCCCAAAGGAAUUUAUCUAUGUAUAAUAUGAGACAAAUAUAUAGUUAGAAAAGAAUUUCUUUUUAGUAUUUAUCAGCAGUGUGUAUUAGAGAAGAGCUGCAGUUAAAAAAAUACAGUUUCUUGCUAGAACUCCAUAAGGUAAUAUGAUUUUCUCCUUCAAAUGUUGCUGGAUGCUGCAUUUUGUUUUCAUUCCUUUGUAGAGGCAGUGAUAACAUUUUGAAGAAAAUAUUUAGAGUUUAAUUCUAAAUUGAAAAGAACUGGCUGUUCAUCAGUAUAGAAGAAAAACCUCUAAAUAGAAUGUGUAGUCAGGAAAAAGACCACCAAAACUUAAAUAGGAAGAGCUCAAAUAUUUUCCAUCUUUAGAAUUCCUUGAUGUGUACUCAGGGUUGGAAGAGCAGAUGAAGGAAACGACUUUUCUGAAAGGUUGCACUGCAAUGAAGGGCAAGAUUAAGGUAGUUCCCUCCCCCUAUAUUCAAAAGAAAAGCAAGCAGAGAGUAAGAUAGAAGGAAAGUGCCUGGGGAAAGUAGCAUCACUAUCGAAAUCAUAAAAGAUGUAUAAGGACAUCAGUGGAAGAACUAGAAAAACUAUUAGAAGAAUGCCCUACAGGGCUAUCCCAAUGGCUCAGCGAUUAGCACACUGCACUGCCACUGGGAAAAUACAGCCAAGGUUUGAGGCAAAUCUUAGCGUCUCACUCAUUGGUACUGGCAGCUGAGAGCCUUAUGAGGAUGGUGAGUCCACAGUGGAGAAAUACUGAUACACUGCUCACUUGCCCAGAGGUAUGUACCUAGGCUCCAUUUUGACCACCAAACAUGUUUCAGGAAGGAGGAUCAUUUUUUUUUAAGUCAUCAACUAUCCUAAUUCCCUAUCUAUGUGAAAGCAAAAGAGCACUUCAUUUUCCAAGACCAGUAUCCUUCGCUUUGUCCCAGAGUUUGGUUAAUGAAUUCUCUCUUAGCACCAGAAGUUUCCUGCAGCACUGGUCUUUCCCAGGUUUUCUGGCAGCACUAGCAGAAGAUCGAGAGAUGGAUGGACAGUGAGUUUUUCCAGACUCUGCUUCUGCAGAGUGUAGAAUCUGUGAAUUCUGCAGUCUGUGGUGCUCCUCCAGUCAGUUUUAGUGCCCGUGUCUAGUAACUUUCUCUCAGGGCACUUUCAGACAAGCCUACUAUAAUGUCUUCUCCUUGGUACCAAUAGUGCACUGGCAAUUCCUACAGCAGUGGACACAAUACAUGAAAAUUCACGAGACUGAGCAUUUCUGUUUCCUUCCUGCUGUUCAUGUUGGAAGUUCCAACCAGCACCAAUAUCAACAGCACAAUAAAAGUUCUGUUUGCAGUUUAAAACCAUGCUCGGUCCUCACAGCCAUGCUUCUCCACAUUUGCUUUUUGUUUGUUUGUUUGUUUUGUUUAUAGUAAUGGCAUUAUUUCUUUCAAGUCACUGAAGACAACAGUGCAUUGUGUUCCUACAUAGCACAUCACAGUCCCAGGUGGGCAGCCAUGUACAUCUGGGACUCCAAACAGCUUCUGAAACUUCAAGCACAUAUGAGUCAGAAAUAAAUACUUUGAUCAUUGAUCUUAGUGUUUUUCCAUCAAGAAUUAAAACUUCUAAGGAAAUACAUGUGUCAGAGACUUGAAUGCUAGUUAGCCUCUGAAAGUGCAUCUUCGUCUGGGAAUAGAAAUCUCUAAGAGGGUAUCCAUUCUUAUUUACUAUUUAUAGACAGCUGUAUUUAUAGCUAUUUGUUAUUAUGUGGUUUCAGGUCUUACUGUUAAGCUGAUUGUCCAAAAUCUUCCCUGCCUUCUUUCCACAAUCAAGAAAUUCAAGUGUUGAGCAUACUCACAGGAUACUUUCAAAGUUUAAACAUCUCAAAUCUUUUCAAUUUCAGACUUCCCUUGGGUUAAAAACAAACUUUUAUGCAGUUUUCAUGCAUGGUCUAUCGGAAACCUUAAAGAGAGUUCUUUAUUCACUUCAAAGUUACACGUCCAUUCAUAUUAUCUGUGCUUCAGUCAGUGCUUUCCAUAACACAGUAACCACUGAGAAGAACUGAACAAACACAACAGGCAGCACUUAACUGAGUAUCCUUACUUGUAUUUUUCAUUUGGACAAAAACAAACAAACAAACAAAAAAGAUCUGAAAUAAUUCCAGCCUAUUCUCACAGGCCAGGUAUCUCAUUGUCUGGCCACUAUUUGCUCCAAAUCCAAAACACACUGAAUCUUAGAUGUUAGCUGCUUUUGCAUGUGUAUCAUUCUUUUUAUUUCCAUUAAUUAUUUUUAUACUUGGUCAUAAGUCUUGUCACAGUUUCAAAGAGUAUUUUACUAUGUACUUCAUCAAAAGUAGACUGGACAGUAGUUUUUGCAUAAAUAAAGUCAUUAACCUCACUGUAUUCACUGGAAUUACUCCCCAGAAAGCUACUUAUUUUUCUCUUUUCCCUGUUGCUGCUGGAUCACAUUAUCCUAUCUUUAUACACUCUUAGGUAUUAGCAACAUAGUGGAUGAAGACCUUCUGGACACUGAAGGAAAUAAGUCAUGUCUCUGCCUGUUCAUUAGUAUAUUCUUUUUUAAAUUUUAUGGAAUUUAGCCAUUAUUCUCUGGCUACAGAUUUAAAGCCACAUAGAUUUAAUUACAGCGUGUACAAUAUGGGUGGAUAUUGAUGUACAUAAGAAGAUUAUAACUUCUUUGUUCAACAUUAGUUGAAUAGAUUUUAUUCUACUCUCUCUCUCUUUUUUUUUUUUUUUGACAUUUAGUAAAGUCUGUUUUUGCUUUAUUUGUACACUUUACAUGGUAGUCUCUUGAUGAGAUUGGUAAAUGAAAGUUGCUACUUGCUAAGGUUAUAAUCCUUUUAUUCUCUGUAUUAGUGUACCUUAUAGAGAAGAAAAAGCAAGAGAACUCCUUCAGGUUAUCUUUUCUCUUGAUACGCAUCUUGCAUCGUGGGAAAAACCUCCUGCAGGUUUUCCAGGUGCUUUUUAUUUAAUAUAAUUUUUGCCUUUUCGGUUUGAAACAGGAGUUUAUACAAAAGGAUGUUGUAAUAGUGGCAACAGAAUCCAUAUAAUGAAAGAAGUUAUUUUAAAUUGAAACUUGUAAUAAUGUUUUUCUCCUUAACUUUUCAAUUUCUGCAUCAGUGUUUUGGAAAUAAUCAUUUUGUUUCAAAGCCUGUAGUAUCGUGGGAUGUUUCAUCAUUAAUAUUAUAAAAGUAAAACCAACUUCAUUUAACUUGACUAAAACUGUCAUACAGGUACAACUAACUUUGAAUCUUUUGGUGAAUAGACAGAUAGGAUAGUAGUAGUUAAUCCAAUAUUUAGAUGUAACUACUGAAUUAAUUAAAAAGUUAGUAAUCUGUCUUGAAUAAUGUUUCACAGUCCAUGGUAUUUUCUAUGUUUUCAUAUUAUUACCUUAUUUUCUGUGCAUCUGGUCUUCCACUAUAUGCCAACAAAAUAUACCAACUAGAUUUCUCUAGGAUGUGCUAUAAUCUAUUACUCUUUCUAAAGCUGGAAUUUUGAUUCUAAUGAAUUUUACUGAACAUUUUUGAGCAUAUAGAGAAGUACAGGGGGUGAAGAACAGCAUAAUAAAGAAGACACAUUAUGCAAAAAGAAGCUUUGAAUUAAUAAAAUGACUAAAGCUGGUGUAUCCAGACACCUGAAGUAGAAAGAAAGAUUAACAUUUUCUUGAACUAUGGUAUAGACUAGCAACAUGUACUUCAGUGUUUUCAUAUCUGAAGAUAGGAAUAAGAGUUAUACCACUUAAGCAGAAAUAACUUUCUUAGCUUUCAGAAUAUAUUUAUUAUGGGUCUUUAUUAUUUCUACUAACAUCAAUUUUAUUUGCAUUUGAUUUUUGGGUGUGGGGGAGGCCAUGAGUGGGAAUAAUCUAAAAUAAUUUGACUUUCAAGAGAUUAAGGUCUUCAAAACUAUUUUAACAAUUGAUGCUUGAUAUUGCAAAUCAUUCUUUUCCUUUCAAGUCCUGGUAUCUGAAUUAUGAUAUUAUUCAUUUUAUUACACACAUAUAAUUCCAUAUGUUUUGUUAUGAUGCUGCAGGAGAAUAAAAUUACUGUUACUUUUUCAAAACAGGCCCAGAGUUGAAUACACACCAUCAAAACCAUAGAGAAAUGCGAAUCUGACUUGCAUCUCAUGCUAUAAGAAUCACGCUGAUGGAGUCCAAUGUCUCUUGCAAUAACAAGAAAAUACCAUCAGCACAUCCACCCUACACAACCAGUCUGCCCUUCUCUACCAAGAUGGAGGAAUAGUCUUCUGCCAUCUGAGUAAUAGUAUCUCCACUUCACUGACAUACUCAGUGGAAGAGACAAAGCAAGAUUUGUAGUAUUUGAUCAAGGGAGAAUUAAGCUACUGAUUAGGAAAAAACAAUCUUUGAUUUCUUAAAAUUUAAAUGUAAACAAAUAUUAACUUCUCAGAUGACUAGAAGAACUUACAUAAAACCAGUAGAAGCACAACUGGAUCGUACUCUAUUUUGUGCAGGCUCCUCCCUUUGCCACUUAAUGAAUAUUGUCAUUCCACAAACUUUCAACAAUAUUAUUAUAUUACAGUAGAAGAACCAUCAGCAGGAAAUACUGUACUCAAACAUGAAUUAGGUAUGUGGCAUAUGUAAAUUGUUCAUUCUGGCUACAGAUUGUAUAACUGAUGUGCAGAUUUAUUUUUUUCUUCCCUUAUCUCUAAAUACUUCCUGUACUCUGGGCCUGUUUUCCUCUGAUUAAAAAUAAUAGUGUAAAAUUUCCUGUUUUAAGACACAGGCCCAACAUUUCCAAAUUUAAUUGAAUGCUUAGAUCCUUAUACACAUGUGUGUCUUUGCAGCUCAGAACUAUGUAAUCACGGAACCAUGAACGUAGAAAGCACUGGUAAUGAAUAUCCCAUCAGCACUAGGACAAGGCACACAACCCAACUUAGUCAGUGCAUAGCGUAAGAAUAAAUAAAGAAAAUUCAUGAAACCCAGCAAACAAAUGACUUAAAAAUCCAAGUCAGCUGAUGCAGAUUAGUUUAAGCAGUCUCAAACCUAUCCUCCAAAGCUGCAGGUGGGCAAUGAUGAGAAAAAAAAGAAGCAAAAUGUUUAAAUGCCCUGUCUCCUUCAAGCGUAAUAGAUGAAUUUUCUCAUUUUGCCUUAGCUGCAGGAAGCAAAUCAGGUAUCUCAAUACAGAAGAUAUUUAUGUAACUUUGAAGUCACACUAGCAUAUUACAUGCUAUUCAGGUCAGUUUGAAAACACUGGCACCUGACCAGCUACAUUAGUGCAAUGCUCUGUUACACCAUUCACAUCAACACCCAAUCUUUCAAUGCCAAUUCUUUGCAAAAGUUUGGCAGAUUCAACCCUCAGCAAAAGUUGUGCAGAUUUUUAAAUCUGUGAUGUACUUUUUUGAGCCUUGAGGCUGCCUUGUGAUACAGCUUUGUAGAAAAAAAUUCAAGGAAAUUACAUUAUUUUACAAAUUUGUUUAUAUUGCAAAUUUACCUAGAUUCUUGUUAACAGAAAAUUGAUAAUUCAGAACUUUAUUGAAGCCUUUAAACAAAACAAGAACUCUAUUGUAUAUUUGGACAUAUUCUCCAAAAACCCACAAGCAACAGAAAUACAUGAAAAAACACAUACUGAAAUCAAGUUUGAUUUUGAAAGAGCAUCACAGUCAACCCAUGCAUAAGUCACUGAACACUGGGUUAUUCGUUUUGACUAAAAGAAUUCUGCAUACUAACAGUUAUGAUAAAAGAAAGGAUGAUUCACAAUCCUGAUAGCUUCUGAAGGGCCAAUAUUAUUGAAGAAAGAAAAAGAAUUAUAUUUUGACAAUUUAACUCCUUUCUUAAAAAAAAA